AUUUGUCACUAGGGGUGCCGCAAGGCUGAGACGAACAUACCCGUUCGGACCCUUUGAACCUGAUCUGGUUUAUACCAGCGUAGGGAAGUGGAGAACGAAUAAC
rnacentral:ncRNA from 2 species